CAUUGCGAGAUGGAGGGAAUCUGAUUUUUCAUUGGUCCUCAACUCGCAGCUGAGUCAUUUCAGUCAGGGUAAGUGGAGUUAGCCCUGAGUCAGUCUGCCACGGAGCAGGUUAGUUCUGAACGAUUUGUUGCCAUAGAAACGUACCUGGCUGAAAGGUGAGACACUUUCGUAUGGCCGGUUAUCCUGAUUUGAACUCAAGAGUUGGCCAAAGUUACCUCGCUAAAAAGUACAGUCAGGUCAAAUGUAGGGGUGGCUGAAGAUCACUCUCCUGUAGUGUCUGAAACGGCAACCUAUUUCCUAUUUAGUGCAGUAUAAGGGCCAAUAGGACACUAUAUAGGGUGCUAUUCAGUACGCAGGCUUGUUGAUAGAGUAGCAUUCUGUGCUGGUUCUUGGUCUUCCUGGGACCAGUACUGCCUGGAAAAUAGUCUCUGUCUUGGUACUCUGAUGGGAGUAUGAAGGAUCAUGCAGGGCUGGGAAAACUGGUGCUCUGGAGUGAAGGGAAACAAUCUGUGCCAUGGUGAGACAUUCCACCACCUAAAGGCUGUGCAGGGCUGGGAAAACUGGUGCUCUGGAGUGAAGGGAAACAAUCUGUGCCAUGGUGAGACAUUCCACCACCUAAAGGCUGUGCAGGGCUGGGAAAACUGUUUCUCUAGUGUGAAGAGAAACAAUCUGUGCCAUGGUGAGACAUUCCACCACCUAAAGGCUGUGCAGGGCUGGGAAAACUGUUUCUCUGGCGUGAAGGGAAACAAUCUGUACCAUGGUGAGACAUUCCACCACCUAAAGGCUGUGCAGGGCUGGGAAAACUGUUUUUCUGGCGUGAAGGGAAACAAUCUGUGCCAUGGUGAUACAUUCCACCACCCAAAGGCUGUCCUUUACCAGAUGAUGUGUUCUGUUUCUCUCCCUCUCGACUAUUUGUUCAUUUGUAUGCAGUGUUAUGGAGUAGUGAACUACGCUGUAGUUCAACUAGUAAUUUAACUACAGUAGCUUGGCAGUAGUUGAACUAAACUCAAAUCUUUGUAGUGUUUUCAGUAGUUCAUUCCCAUUUUUUGUCUAAUAGGCUACAUUGCACAUUCUUUUAACAUCUGACUCCAAAGUGAAGAGAGUCUAUGACAUUUCAGAUUCAUUACAAAGUAGUUUGAUGAGGUGAACUGUUUUUUUUUUUCAAAGUAACUUCAGUUAGAUAUAUUCUUAAGGACGGCUUUAGUGUAGCUUAACUUCCACCAGUGUGAAGUAAAUUGGUAGCUUUGGUCAACUAUAUGUUCAGAGUAACUUCUCUCAACACUGCUUGUGUGUUUUUGUUUUCAUCUGAGCUGUCACAUCUGCUCCUGCCAGGUAUGCUGGAGUCAGAGCAGAUCCCCACCAGCUGCAACCUGUUCCUUAAUCAAGACUUCUACAUAUACUCAGUUCUGCCCGCUCUGACUCUGGUCCGUCUCCAGUUCCACGUCUCAUCAUCCUGCUACUCUGUCCUGGAUUCCCCUCCGGACCUGCUUACCCUGCGCCCACACACCUCUCGCUCCAGCCUCAGCCUCCGCACCUGGUUUCCAGCAACCCGCCCGAGCUUCCCCUGACCUGCAUUCAACCUUCCCCUCGUGUUUUAAUAAAUACCUUGGUUACUUCA